AUAAAAUCGAUGAGCAGAAAGAGUAGAUAUGGGAGUUUAGUUAAAGCGAGCCUGGGGCGGUGGAAGCCGGGUACUGUAGCCUAUAUUGAAUGGGUCUGCGAGAUGAUAUGCGAACUUAUAGUAGCAUUUUCCGGGAGUCAGCCGUUACAAUGACAGGGUAUCGAUGUUAAUCUGUACCUGGUAAAGAGAAAUUUGCAUUUAGGUGGCAUAGCGAGUAAAACAUCUCGUCCUAAUUGGACUAGAUGUUUUUUUAUUUACUCUUUAAUUUGUAUGAGAAAAUAAAUAUAGAAUAUGCCUAUCUAAUAAUGUGAAUUUAAUAUGGGUGGCACCGCGGAGUCACUUCGUCCCAUUA
rnacentral:ncRNA from 1 species